GGGCGAGGUGGGGGAGGUGCGCAGGAUCGCGAGAAGGAAAGCGAGAACUAGUUGUAAGGACAGCAUGCUGGUGGAUCUUGUUGGGAACUCGUGGAGGAAAACAACCACCACAGGCCCAGCUGACGCGCUGCUUUCGUCUUGGACAAUCUACGAACUGGAGGUCUGCAGCGUGAGCCCCUCAACACCUGCGCACCCGCGUACACCACGGGCAGACUCCAUGCUUUCCCCAUCUCCUUGGCGGAAGGAUAAACAAGAUCACCAGGGCCUGGGAUGUCGCCCUCUUUCCAGAGCACUGUGCGCCGAAGGAAGGCCUUAAGAGGCCAGGUGUGAGACACUAACCCUGGCAGAGCUGACUGUUUACUGUAAGAAUGUAGCAAGACUCAGCAACAAUGCAAUUCCUAUUUUUAAUUUUUAUAGAUUCAACCCUAACAAACCUUUACUUCAGUAGGAAGAUGAAAAUAAAGUUUAGUUAAAAAUUAUCACAUAAUUCUUUGAAUUCCUUCCAUUUAUAUUCCACGAGUUACAUAAUAAUCAGUGUGUGUGUGUGUGUGUGUGUGUGUGUAUGAAUGUGUACAUAUAUAAUUUAUAAAUAUACAUAUAUUCCCCCCCAGUGCUGGAGACUUAACCCAGUGGCUCACCCAUGCUAAUCAGGCAGGCAGUUUCCUACUAAGCUCCCUCCCCAGGCCACCUCUGAAAUACAUUUUUUAGACUGACAAUUUAAUCCAUCUUCAAUUUUAAGGGGAAGAAAACAACAUACAAAAGAAUUUGCUUCUAUUUAUGGCCAUUCACAUUCUCGGUACAGUGUUUUUUGUUUUGGGGGGGGGGAUUUUUAGACAGAGUCAUGUCAUGUAGUUGAGGCUGGCUUUGAACUUGCUAUGUGAUCCAGGCUGACCUUGAACUUACAGUGAUCCUCCUGCCUCAGCCUUCCAAGUGCUGGGAUUACAGGUGUGUGCUACCAUGCCUGGCUUCCCUUUCUCAGUAUGAAUAUCAGUAUUUUGAAAGACUUUCUCCAUUCUUACAUGAAAUACUAUAUCGAGGUAUGAUUAGGAUGACUAAGAAGUAUGCUUUCUUUAAAUUUCUUUUGUGAAAUUGUUGUAAAAAA